UACGUAGGGUGCGAGCGUUAAUCGGAAUUACUGGGCGUAAAGCGUGCGCAGGCGGUUCGCUAAGACCGAUGUGAAAUCCCCGGGCUUAACCUGGGAACUGCAUUGGUGACUGGCGGGCUAGAGUAUGGCAGAGGGGGGUAGAAUUCCACGUGUAGCAGUGAAAUGCGUAGAGAUGUGGAGGAACACCGAUGGCGAAGGCAGCCCCCUGGGCUAACACUGACGCUCAGGCACGAAAGCGUGGGGAGCAAACAGG
rnacentral:rRNA from 1 species